UAUUAAGCUUUAAUUAAACUGUAGCACUACAGAGAGGCAGAGGAGUUUCUGUGUUGUUUGUGAUGUUUCAAGUACCAUGUUGGACCUACAUUAUGGACAGCAAGUGGUUAACAAGUCUGCAAGGCUGGUCUGUUGGACAGAGAGCUAAAAUAAAGCACCACGCUGGAGGAAAAACCUAAUGAAGUCGCCCGAGUGAAUUGAUUGGAGAUUUGAAUAAAAGGGAUCUGCUGUAUGGUGGUGUGAGAUAUCCCAGUAAAUCUGCUAGAAGACACAUGGUAUCUGCACAAUUAUCCAUGUAAUUCCAUGCAGAGGGAAGGAUUAGUCUCUACAGAGCUGAGCUCAGGAAUGGAGAGCUGGAUCUGCAGGACAGAAGCAGAACAGGAGACCUUGGCAGAGUUUUCCAAGGGAAUUUCUAGCCAAAACUCUAGUAGAAGGAUGAGAGCAAACACACGGGGGAGCACUUAGACUGUAACAUCUGGAGUACUCCAUCCACCCAGCUCGUGUACCUGAAAUGACCAUUUCAGUGGAAAACCUGCCUUUUCAAAAACCCCAUUUGUUCUGAAGAGUUCACCGUUUCCCAGAAACCAAAAGUACCACGUGGAAUUUUCUAAAUGCCAGGACCACAGGGUGACCCACUCUGUCUCUCUGUGCAAGAAAAGAGGAGCACUUUUAGAAACUCUCAGUAUUCUCAACAACAAAGAAAUGCUGAAUUUUGAAGCCUGUUUCCACUAAAUGCCUUUUAAAAAAAAUUUUACUCUCAGCUCUAUAGUUGGAAAUGCCUUUCAACAAGACUUUGCAUUUAUAUUGUGUUGCCUGUUUGCCUAAUCUUCGAUGUCCAGCUCAGCAAACUCCUCUGUUUGGAAAGGUAUCUCCUAAAAUGCAGAUUUGAAACUUAAAAGAGGGUAUUUAGUGUGUCCACCAUAUGAGCAAAGCACUUGGCCCCCACAAUAAAUUGCCUGCAUUUGCAGAGUUUUUGUCAUGUUUGCACAGUAAACAUUUGUGAAAUCGAUUUAAUGGUUUAAUUUUUCCAGUGCAUGUGAAGAUAGGUACUUCAGGAACAUUGCUUAAUACACAGCCAAAGCAUA